CGCGGGGCCGGGCGGGCGGGCGCGGGGGAAGCCCCGGGGCGGGCGGGGGCCGAGGGGCAGAGCCCGGCGGGGCUCGGCCGGGCGGCCUCGGCCUCGGCCGCCCCCGGGUGCCCGCUCCCUGUGCCCGGCGUCGUCCGGGCCCUGCCCGCUUCGCUCGGCGGCUCCUUCGCUCCACGCGUGCAGCCGUGCUGCGCCCGGCGUGCGGGUACAGCGCCGCCAGCGCGCGGCGAUCACAGAAUCACAGAAUCAAUUAGGUCGGAAAAGACUUCUGAGAUCAUCGAGUCUAACCUGUGACCACCUUGUCAACCAGACCGUGGCAACGAGUGGCACGUCCUGUGUUUUAACACCUCCAGGGAUGGCGACUCCACCAUCUCCUUGGGCAGGCCAUUCUGUUAUGUAAUAACCUUUUCUGUGAAGAUUUUCUUCCUGAUGUCCAACCUAAACAUCCCCUGGCACAGCUCAGCACUGUGUCCUCAUACAGCCAGUUGCUGAGAGAAGAGGCCGGUCCCCAUCGGGUUCCUUUCAUGUGCGAGGCGAGGGCAGCGGUGACCCGCGCACGGAGCCGCCUGGAGCUGUCACAGGUGUGUGUAGGCGUCAUCUUCCAUUGCACCCUUACACCUUGGCUCUUCUGCACAGGCUUCUUACACUAUCAUGGAAGGUGAUGUUAUAUAGCUUAGCUUUAAAACAUCAUUCAACCCCUGAAACGUGAAAUUCAACUGGUCUUGCGCUUCAAUAUAAAACCCAGCUGAGGCUGCCCUGCCCUCGCUUUUGUCACCGUCACUGUAGCAGCUGCUUUUGUGGUAGGAGUAAAAGAUCAGGGCUCCUUCACAAGACACUGCACAGCGUGUAACUAACUCUAGGCCCUUUUUAAGGCAGAGACAUACAUCAGUGUUUGCUUUCAUGCAUGACAAGCGCUGUCACUGACUGUUUACAUAAAUUAAGCAUAUUUAGCAUGUCCUAAACACAACAGUGCAGAAAGCAGAUGGAUACACCAAGGAGGUGAAAGGGAGGCAAAAUAAUGACGUAUGGAAAAGAGUGAAUUACACCAAGCCUGUUUUUAACUAUCUGCUCAUUAUUUCAGAAAGAGAAGAGCAUGAAGAUUGUGUCGUAAGCGAAGGAGGAAAUAAUUUUUCAUUUACUGUUGAAAUUCUUGAAGAAUUAUAUUGUAACACAAGCUGAUGUGUACAAAUGUACAGGAAGUGACAGUAUGUUCAGUUUGCGAAUGUAGACAAUUGAAUUCAUAGGUUAUCUUUUUGUGGUUGGCAAAAGUCACCACUUUUGCUCCCAGAAUUACUUUUUUUGUGGAAAGCAACAAUUUUAUGAUUUUAUGCUUUUCUUUUUUUUUUUUUUUUUAACUUCCCAAUGCACCACUCACUUCAGUUCAUGUUUUGGUUUUCUAGAUGUGUAAAAAUACUGCCUGAAAAUGCUAAAAAUUUAGUUCCAUUCCAGGCUUUGCAGAAAGAAACAGGAUUUUAUACACUUGACUGGGUAUCUCUGAAACUCAUGUUUUAUUUGUUCAGAUUAAUUUAAAUUAUUUUCUGUCAUCUUCAUAUUGUGCUACCUCAUUGCUUUCUUGGCCUGGCAGAUCAUUAAUAAUCAUCUCUAGCAUAAUGAAUGUUAGAGUGCUGUAACAUCUGCUUCUAAGUUUUAACCACAUCAUUCCCUCGUAUUUUCUGUCUCUUGCUCAGUUCUUUAUAAGUUUGUCUUGUACCACCACAGUGCAACAUUUAUUCUGUGUGCCCUAUUUUGAUUUUAGCCAUAUUGCAGUUACUGCAUAACUUUGUCUCAUCUUCGUAACAUUUCUAGUGGCAGCAGCGUAGCUAUGGAAGUGCAGAGCUCUGGGAUGGCUCUAAACUCAGGUAUUUACAAGGUGUCUUAGCUGGGUUUUGCUGUGUUCUUCCACAACUGCCAAGGCAGCAGUAUUUCAGGCAGCUGGUAGAAAGCUGCCGUAGGCUUGAUUGUCUGCUGUGUGACUGGGACUUAGAGAUGAUGCCCCUUUCCCCAUCAUUUGGGGUCAUCCUUUGCAAAUACCUGAACAUUUGCUUACCCUCAAAAAGCAGAAAUAAUACGUUGAAUUAAAAAAAAAAAAGUUGAUAAAACACAUUUAAAUAUGACGUUUUUUACAUCAUAGUAUUUUUAAAAUCUAAUUCAGUGUCAGAAUUCAGCUACAAAAAAGGUGUAGAUUAAGCAGAUGAUACGAUGUAGUGUGUUUUCAUAUAAAACUUUCCCUGUCUAUAUUUAGGUAAUUACAUAUAAAAUCACUUUACUUAGACUGCAUUUUCAAAUGCAUUUGAAAACAAGAUUCUCAUCCAAAAAAAGAGGUACUCAACAGUAUUAUUCUAGAAAACUGGCUUAUUUUUACAUGUACUACAUCACAGACACAAUGCAAUACAAAACAAUGCUGCACUGAAAAGUGUAUAUACGUAUAAAACCUCUCCACUUGCAUUAUUAGUGCUUAGUCAAAAAUUCUAAUGAAAAAGUUUCAUUUUGGUGUAGAUCAACAAUUUAAUAAGUUACUUCUAUUCUAUUCAAGGCAUUAUCAUUAGAAAGGUAAUAAUGACAUUGCCAGUGUGUGCUAUUAUGACACCUCUUACAUGGCGCUGUCCUACACUGCAUGCAGCUCCUGAAGGCUUUUGUAAGUUGUCUGUAAAAGUUUACCAGUCCAGAUCAUUGCCAUUUUCAGCCACUUAGCAUUCAUUUUUUUUUAUUUGUGCAAAUAAGAUUGUGUUUUAGGCUGUGGAGAAUUACAUUCACUACACUUGCUUCUCCAGAUAGAUAAUAGAAUUUUCUAUUUUCUGAUUGUACAGUUCUUUGGAUCUUGCAAAUGCAACUUAUCGUUGCCAAGUAAUUGUUGCAACUUCAGAUGAUUUUUUAACCUAAAUAACAUGAUGCUCAUAAUGGAGCUACAGCAAUUUAAAAGAAGUCACAGUCUGACCUAAAGUUUUCUAUUGAAAGUGUAUAUUUUUUAUUUUACCCUCAGUAUGAACAGUGUAAAUAUAAGGAUUCUUAGCUUAUGAAGGAAUAGCAACGUGGGUACCUGCUCUUUUACAGUCUUCCAUGCCUUACAUGGGUCUUCUUUAGGCUUUCAAUCUCCUGAACUUGCUGCUUAUACCUUUGAAAGAAGCCAAGUGAGGCCCUAAGUCUCUGAUCUUGUCAAGGGAGAUAGAUAUGCACCUUCAGAGGGAAAUUCAAAACCUAAUGAGAUCGAGGAUCCGCCUCUCCUUUUUUCUCUCCCUCCUUUGCACACCAGAGUAGACAAUUCAAUAUUAUAAGUCACAGUAGUCUCUGAGAGGACUCACUGUCUCAGCAGGUGGCUUACUGUUUUUGCACGCUGAGAUGUACUUGUCUGUUAGAUGGGGAGCUGAAAGCAGCAAUGCGGCUGCAAGGAUUGGCAGAAGGGAGCUGCUGCAAGGCUCUGUGAUUAAGCGAAGCUGCUGCAACACACUGCAGUUGGAAAAGGGUGAGAUUCUUGGUGCUCAGCAGCAAACAAUGAGCAUGGCUGAUUUUAUCACUUUCAAAGUGACUGUAGAUUGUCUUGCUUCUUUAAUGUGCUAUAUAUAUCAUUACAUGAAAAUGACAUUUUUGUCUGUGUAUUAUCUUUCAUUUUUAUCUCUCAUUUUAAAAUACAUUUAUAAUAUCCCUAACAAUAUAGAUAAAACAAAAUGAACUUACUUUACUAAUAAAUGCAAUUUUUCUUCUUUAUGAAAUGUAGUUAUUUCUUGUGUGCGGAUCACCUUUGUUUGUGUCAAAUGAAAUAAAUUACAAUUCAGUCUUUUUAUUAAUGAGACCAGUUAUUAGUCUUCAAUUUCUUAGGUUCACAGAAUGAAAUGCAAAGAAAAUACCAUUUAUGUAACAUAAUCUCUGAUGUUGUAUAAUACAAUCACAACUGGGGAGUGUGUGCAAUGCCUAACUUUAGAGCCUACAUUUGAUAGGCUAAAUACUUAUCUGUUUGCUUGCAUUUUCUUUCAUGUCAAUGAAAAUACAGAGAAACUGUAAUAAGGUGAUUCAGGCUGGGAACCUGGCUAGCAAGAGGCAAGAAAAGACAUAUUUAAGUUCAGGCACCUAAAUGAAAUGUCUAAAGCUAAAUGGCAUGAGCCCAGGUUUCACUCCAGUAGGCUGCUUCCCACAGAAGCUGUUCCAGUUGUUCUUCUUAAGUGAGGCAUUUGCUCAAGCAGAAAUAAAAGGUUGACAUUCUGGACCUGAGAAAUGUAAGCUUCAAGUAAAUAAUGGGUGUUUAUAAGGAUAGGAAUGACAAAACUGAGACACAUUUCAUUUUCUACAAAUGUCCUAAAGAUAGCUUUCCUCUGCCAUUUAGCUCAAGGCAGAACUUUUACAUACACAGAAUAAUUCCUGUGAAGUCACGCUGGUCACAUGGCCUUGAGAUGUUCCAACAGGACUUUGCUUAUUUGAUCUAUGAUUGUUCUUAGCUAAAAUAUUAUAAUGAUGACAUGGAAAAAUUGGAACUCAGCUGUAGAUGUAAUAGCAAAUAAUGAGAUUAAAAAUAGAGGAAAAGGCCACAAAUUGCAGCUAGUUUAGAAGAUUUAUUACUAAUGGAAUUCUUACUUUAACCACCACACAUCAAAGCAAACAAGAUUCUACCUAACCUUUUUUGACACCAGAUUAUCUUACUCAGCUUUUCACUUCUGUCAUUAUUUUUAUUAUUCAUUUUUGUCAUACAGAUUUGUAUGAUUAAUAACACACUUCAAUGCUGUGACAUGAGUGCAUUUUCUACUAAAAAUGGUGGGAGGGGUAGAUAGAGAAUAAGAAGACUGUUUACUUGCUUUUGGACAAAAUGUACUCACAACUUGGUGGAUACAUAUAUGUAGUUGCCUUUGUGUACUUAAACUGCACUAUGAAACAUGAUGACUUCAUAUAAUAGUCUUUAUUUGAGAGGUAAUACUUUUUAAUAUGAUUUGGUUUGAGAGAACAGCAGUGAAUCAGCACUCUUGGACCAUAAUCACUAGAGCAGGAUGUACUGCUUAGAGCAGAGAUGCAUCUCAGAAAGUGGGCCACUGGACAUAAAAUCAGAACCAACAGAAAAGAAACAUCAAAGAAAAGAGAUACUAAACAAAACAUUGAAAACUUAUUUCAUAAUUCCAUUUGCAAUGAAAUCGCUCAUUUUCUAAUGCUAAGUCAUCUUUUCCUUCAUCUGUUAACCCCUAACAUAAAUGCAGUCAUCUGCCCACACGUUUCUAAUUGCCAACAUCCCUAUUUGUCAAAAUCCUGCUACUGCUUCUCUCCCCAAAAUACAUCACACAGCAUCUGGUCUCGUGCCUGAUAUCAGAGAGAUAGCUUGAGAAAGUCAUAUCAAAAGCAAAGCAGUUAAACAAUGUUUCUUUUACAAGAACCCCUCUCUUUGUAGUAGUUUCAAGUUUAGGAACACACUUUCUGAUCAGACACCUUAAGAGGUAACUAUAAACUACUUAGUAAUGAGUUUGUCAUUAUUAAGGAAUUUAUGUCUGUGAUUUCUGUAACUUCCUGUUGCAAUGAGUUUUACAUUUAACUAAGUUUUAGAUAUGGGGAAAAAAUAUUUACCCUUACGAUUAAUCUAGAACCCAUUUUUCACAUUCAGUGGUGAAAAAUGUACUACCACACUGAAAAACAGCUGUGCAAUAUCAGCAUAUUAAUUUGAAGUAAUGCCGAAAAUGCUAAUUUAUAACUAUUUAUUAAAAUACAUAAUAUAAAAAUAAUAUAUUAAUACUGAACUAACUAUACUGAUUCUUUUUUAUCUGAUUAAAAAAAAAAAAAAAUUAAGCUUCAAAACAAGUGUUCUGUGGCAUAUCCUGUCACCAUGUGUACUUGAUAUAAAAUUCAUGAACCUUUCCCCAGUCAGGCCUCAAGGAGCUCCCGGGGACUGAUUUAUUUGUUUGAUGUGGGAAGAUGAGGAGGGUUGGUAUUCUGAGAACCCACCUCCUAAAACACUAUCCACUUGAAAAUCAUUUAUCUGUGAGAACCAUCCUAGGUGGUUUAGCCAAACAUCAGACUUUGUUUUGAAGUGUUUCUUCUUCCCAUUUUGAAGCCCUAUGGGUACCUCUUUUUGAUAAAUUUCCAUUCAUUGUGACUUUUGCCUCAAGUCCCUGUCUGACCAUCCUCAUCGCUGUUUAUUCCCUCAUCGCUGGAACAUCCUGUGCUCUCUGCUGCACUGAGCAACCACUUUCCAUUCCCUCUUCCAGAACAGAUGCUUCCUCCCAAAGGAUGGUCCUAUCAAAAAGUGAGAAAGGGUGACUGUGUAUUUAUUAUAUUUUAAAUUUAAGAUAUAGUUUAUUAUCUUAUGUAUGUAUCUUGAGAUCCAAGAAAAGGAGAAUUUUAAUAUUUUCACUUGCUCUUGCAAAUUUUUCAACAUUGAUGGAAAAGUAAGCAAAGCUUAAGAGAGAACAGUCAAGUGUGGCUGUUGUAAACAAAUAUGUAGCAAGCCAGAACACUUAAAACAAAUGCAGCAGGUACUUUGCAAAACUGUUGUCUCAAAUAAGCAUUCUAAACUUCUCUAGUUAUAUUUAUUGGUCUGUGACUGCCUGAGAUAUCUAUGUCUUUGGAGACUAUUGAAAAAUAUUCACAUACUUGCCAGCUUAUCCAAUUUAGGAACAAUAUAGAAAUAAUAAAAGUUUUCUGUGUGCAUAUUUUUUUUUUUAAUUUUCAACCUGGCUAUUUACUUUUUUUUUUUUUAAUUUGGUAGUUUAUUUCAUGUUUUACAGCGCUGUACAGUAUUAAUAAUUUUCCUCCAAUUUUCAGACCACUUUCAUAUGAUCAUGAUUUUUAUCCCCAUAAUUAUUUUUUAUGUGAUGUGUAAUGUUCUGGUCAGCAUAUUUCAAGUCAUUCUCAGAUGCUGUUUAGUUCAAUAAUGAAGCCAUCAGUAUCUGCAAUUUGGGAGGUGAACCAAAAAUCAUGGAGUUAGCUGCAUUAGUUUAAAAUCAACUCACUGUGAAAAUAAGAUUGCCCCUAGUUCUUUAUUAUAUGACUGCAGGCUGCUGCUAACUGGGCAGUGCAUUGUAGCACAACACUAUCACAGCAGGAACAGCAAAGAACUGAAAGCAAUAUUGAGUUGGAUGAAUUUAAUUUUAAUCUAGAUCAUUCUUACCAGAAUGAUUCCUUUCAGAGGCAGUGUUAUAUGAAAGCAGUGGUUAGGUUUUAAUGUCAUAUGGUGUUCUAGUUUAUUUGUCUUUACAAAAGAGAUGCAUUCAUCUUCCUUAACUCUGAUGCCAUCUCAAACUACUGAAAGUUCAAGUAAGUGUUUUGUCCCAAUUAAUUUGAUAUGAGCAGUAGUGUAACUGAGAUUCUGUUGCUUCUCUUGAGAAAUUUAUCUCAUGGUCCACAUGAGUUCAGAGAAUCACCAAAUCACAAAAUGUGCCAGGCUGUUUAAAUGUGGUUAGUGUAUAUACAUGUUUUGUGUGUGUAUAUGCAAGUACAUACACACACACACACACACACACACACACACACACACACACACACAUACACACAGAGUUAAAGCUGUAUUAUUUACUGCCAAAUUUCAUGUGUUAAAUGAUUUAUUAUCUUCUUUACAAGAUUUGUUUAGAAAUUUUUAAUUGAUUACUUACCUCUCUCUUACUUGUUCUGUAGGCAGCUGAGUUAUUUGAAACAGGCCUUCCUAUAGGAAUUAUCUUUCCUAUGGAUUGAUCUCUUUUACCAAUUUGUUGAUGUUUAACAAAAUAUCAGAUAUUUACAGGAGCUGUUUCAUAGCUAUUUAAUCAGAUUUCUUUCCUCAUGUCGAGUCUAUUAAUUUCUAUCCACAGCUGAAACAGGGGUUGAACAUCGGAGUUUUGUAAAGACUUACUGGAGUGUAAUUUUUAAUGUAUAUAUGUGUUUACACAUAAGAAUGCCUCACAAAAAAUCGAAUAAAUUUACAUAACUGUGAUAUAAAAAAUAUCUAUGAUGAUUUCAUACAGGUAUAAAGCCAGCAUACGUAUAAUUAGUCAAUCUUUUAUGUGAGACCAGAUGAUCAUUUUACAAGAUGCUUUAGAAUAAAUGUUUACAGACUUUCUCUUGUUGGUAGUUGACCAUGUUUAAGAGUCAGCAAAGCAGGAAUCAAAAACGAUCUUAUUUUGCAGUAGUUCCGCAUGAACCCCAAUAAAAGGUUCCAUGUUCUUAAGGAAUUUUACCCCUAAGGCUUUGAUUCAACAAUAAUUUCUGAUUCAUAUUCUUGAUAAAAGGACAUUAAGUUCUUUCUGUAUUUCUUUAACCAAUAUUUUUCCUAAUACCUAAAUGUGUAAAACCUUUGAAAGGGUGAUUCUGUUUUAAAUAAUUAACUGAUCCCUAUUCAUACCAUGAGUAUUAAUGAAAUUCUGUGUCUCUUUCAAACUAGCAGCACCUGAAUAGACUAAAAUAGAUUAGAAAGAAUAAUUGCUGAAUUUAAAAGUGAACUGCUUAUUAAAUCAAAGUAGUCUAUGAGUUGUUUUAGCAGGCAGUCAGUGUGGAAACCAUUUACCAGUUGCUAGGAUGUCUCAUUUCUAGUGUUGACCUUCAGCUGUAUCAAGUCAGUGCCUGCUGUGGAAGAGUGCAGAGGAGCAGGCAGCCUGGCUGUGUGCUCUGCCGGAUUGCCGGGGCUGGCUGAGCACGGGCACAAUGCUCAGCGCUUUACAGCAGUGCCAGGAGUGCCUGGGAUCCCAGGAAAACAUGCUCCCACUGCAAACUGCCCUCCCAUCCAGCCCACUCAAGAGAUGAGCGGAACUGAGUGGUGAUGAUGGGCAUUUUACCUCUGUGUUUGUCUACUUCAGCAACUUUUCUUGUCUUACAGGGGUUUUCUGUGCCUAUGGAGAAGAUUUUUGUAAAUAAAUAUGUUUAAAUAAAUAUGUUUAAAUUAACACUGUAGCUACACUGUGAUUUCAUGGUAUAUACCAGAGAGCAUCGUCUACUACAUGAAAGUACAUGAACAAAGAGAUGCUAUUUUUUCAAGAUAAUGAGACAAAGGCAGUGAUUUUAUAUAUAUAUAUAUAUAUAUAUAAAUAAAUAUAUAUAUAAUCACUUAUUGUCUGGCUAUUGAAAAGAUUCCUUAAAAGAAAUACAACCACAGAUUCAUGUAUUUUUUUAAUGUUGUAUAACCAGUAUUUUACACUGUUCAUGUCCUAAAAAUGGAUAUAGAUUUUAUUUAUUUUGAUUUUUUUUUAUUUGUUUUUGACAGGUGAAGGAUUGCUCAUAUGGACACAUAGCAAUUUUUAUCAUGAUUCCCAUUCCUUAAUGUAUCACAUUAUUAGUUAUUUUUAGACUUUUCAGUCUUUCACAAUAAAAAAUUAAAACAUC